rnacentral:rRNA from 1 species
CCCAGACUCCUACGGGAGGCAGCAGUGAGGAAUAUUGGUCAAUGGGCGCGAGCCUGAACCAGCCAAGUCGCGUGAGGGAUGACGGCCCUACGGGUUGUAAACCUCUUUUGUCGGGGAGCAAAUUCCGCCACGUGUGGCGGAGUCGAGAGUACCCGAAGAAAAAGCAUCGGCUAACUCCGUGCCAGCAGCCGCGGUAAUACGGAGGAUGCGAGCGUUAUCCGGAUUUAUUGGGUUUAAAGGGUGCGUAGGCGGCCUGACAAGCGGGGGGAAAAGCGGGGGGGCCCACCCUCCGCCCGCCGUUGAAACUGGCAGUCUCGAGUUGGAGAGAAGUAUGCGGAAUGCGCGGUGUAGCGGUGAAAUGCAUAGAUAUCGCGCAGAACUCCGAUUGCGAAGGCAGCAUGCCGGCUCCACACUGACGCUGAGGCACGAAAGCGUGGGUAUCGAACAGGAUUAGAUACCCCAGUA